rnacentral:rRNA from 1 species
AACGAACGCUGGCGGCAUGCCUAACACAUGCAAGUCGAACGAGACCUCCGGGUCUACUGGCGCACGGGUGCGUAACGCGUGGGAAUCUGCCCUUGGGUUCGGAAUAACAGUUGGAAACGACUGCUAACACCGGAUGAUUACGUAAGUUCCAAGGUUUAUCGCCCAAGGAUGAGCACGCGUAGGAUUAGCUUGUCGGGGAGGUAAAGGCGCAUCACGGCUAGGUUACUUAGCUGGUCUGAGAGAAUGAGCAGCCACACUUAGACUAGGAAACGGCGCAGAAUACUACGGGAGGCAGGAAAGGGGAAUAUAGGAAAACGGGCGGGGGGCUGAACCACCUAUGCCGCGUGAGUCAUGAAGUCGUUAGAGAAAUAAAGCUGUUUUACCCGGGGUGAUACUGACGGUACCGGGAGAAUAAGCACCGGCUAACUCCGUG